UGGGGAAUAUUGCACAAUGGGCGCAAGCCUGAUGCAGCCAUGCCGCGUGUAUGAAGAAGGCCUUCGGGUUGUAAAGUACUUUCAGCGGGGAGGAAGGGAGUAAAGUUAAUACCUUUGCUCAUUGACGUUACCCGCAGAAGAAGCACCGGCUAACUCAGUGCCAGCAGCCGCGGUAAUACGGAGGGUGCAAGCGUUAAUCGGAAUUACUGGGCGUAAAGCGCACGCAGGCGGUUUGUUAAGUCAGAUGUGAAAUCCCCGGGCUCAACCUGGGAACUGCAUCUGAUACUGGCAAGCUUGAGUCUCGUAGAGGGGGGUAGAAUUCCAGGUGAAGCGGUGAAAUGCGUAGAGAUCUGGAGGAAUACCGGUGGCGAAGGCGGCCCCCUGGACGAAGACUGACGCUCAGGUGCGAAAGCGUGGGGAGCAAACAGG
rnacentral:rRNA from 1 species